rnacentral:rRNA from 1 species
UGAGUACGAGAUGCUACGGCAUCGAAGCAGUCUAUGUCAUACUUCCAAGAAAAGCUUGCAAUGUCAUAAACAAAUAAUGCCUGUACCAUAACCGACACAGGUGGGUAGGUAGAGUAUACUAAGGGGCGCGAGAUAACUCUCUCUAAGGAACUCGGCAAAAUGACUCCGUAACUUCGGGAGAAGGAGUGCCUUAUUUUUAUAAGGUUGCAAUAACAAGAUCCAAGCAACUGUUUACCAAAAACACAGGUCUCCGCUAAGUCGUAAGACGAUGUAUGGGGGCUGACGCCUGCCCAGUGCCAGAAGGUUAAAGAAGUUGGUUAGCAUUAGCGAAGCUGAUAACUGAAGCCCUGGUGAACGGCGGCCGUAACGAUAACGGUCCUAAGGUAGCGAAAUUCCUUGUCGGGUAAGUUCCGACCCGCACGAAAGGCGUAAUGAUUUGGAUACUGUCUCGGAGAGGGGCUCGGUGAAAUAGACUUGUCUGUGAAGAUGCGGACUACCUGCACCUGGACAGAAAGACCCUAUGAAGCUUUACUGUAACUUGAGAUUGAAAUUGGACUUUAUCUGCGCAGUAUAGGUGGGAGACGUUGAAAAUAUUCUUGCGGGAAUAUUGGAGUCAUCAGUGAGAUACCACUCUUAUAAUGUUAGAUUUCUAACUUUGUAUCAUUAUCUGGUCAAAGAACAGUUUCGGGCGGGCAGUUUGACUGGGGCGGUCGCCUCCCAAACGGUAACGGAGGCGCACAAAGGUUUCCUCUGAACGUGUAGAAAUCGUAUCUAGAGUGUAAAGGCAUAAGGAAGCUUGACUGUGAGACCUACAAGUCGAGCAGGGACGAAAGUCGGGCUUAGUGAUCUGACGGUGCUGAGUGGAAAGGCCGUCACUCAACGGAUAAAAGUUACUCUAGGAUAACAGGCUGAUCUCCCCCAAGGGUUCACAUCGACGGGGAGGUUUGGCACCUCGAUGUCGGCUCAUCGCAUCCUGGGGCGGUAGUACGUCCCAAGGGUUGGGCUGUUCGCCCAUGAAAGCGGUACGCGAGCUGGGUUCAGAACGUCGUGAGACAGUUCGGUCCAUAUCCGGUGUAGGCGUUAGAAUAUUGAGAGGAGCCUUCUUUAGUACGAGAGGACCGAGAAGGACAUACCUCUGGUGUACCAGUUAUCGUGCCAACGGUAAACGCUGGGUAGCCAUGUAUGGAGAGGAUAACCGCUGAAAGCAUCUAAGUGGGAAGCCCACCUCAAGAUAAGUAUUCUCAUCAU